rnacentral:rRNA from 1 species
UAGGGAAUCUUCGGCAAUGGGGGGAACCCUGACCGAGCAACGCCGCGUGAGUGAAGAAGGUUUUCGGAUCGUAAAGCUCUGUUGUUAAGGAAGAACGAGUGUGAGAAUGGAAAGUUCAUGCUGUGACGGUACUUAACCAGAAAGGGACGGCUAACUACGUGCCAGCAGCCGCGGUAAUACGGAAGGUUCGGGCGUUAUCCGGAUUUAUUGGGUUUAAAGGGAGCGUAGGCCGUUUGGUAAGCGUGUUGUGAAAUGUAGGAGCUCAACUUCUAGAUUGCAGCGCGAACUGUCAGACUUGAGUGCGCACAACGUAGGCGGAAUUCAUGGUGUAGCGGUGAAAUGCUUAGAUAUCAUGAAGAACUCCGAUUGCGAAGGCAGCUUACGGGAGCGCAACUGACGCUGAAGCUCGAAGGUGCGGGUAUCGAACAGG